UACGUAGGGUGCGAGCGUUGUCCGGAAUUAUUGGGCGUAAAGGGCGCGUAGGCGGUUUGUCGCGUCGGGAGUGAAAACACCGGGCUUAACUCGGUGCUUGCUUUCGAUACGGGCAGACUAGAGGCAUGCAGGGGAGACUGGAAUUCCUGGUGUAGCGGUGAAAUGCGCAGAUAUCAGGAGGAACACCGGUGGCGAAGGCGGGUCUAUGGGCCGAUACUGACGCUGAGGAGCGAAAGCGUGGGGAGCGAACAGG
rnacentral:rRNA from 1 species